AGCAGGAUGGGCUGGUCAGUGGGAUAGCCUCUGUGCACAUUUUGUGGCAAGUAGGAGUGACACAUCAUUCCUGGGAGGCCCCGUGGUUCCUGCCAAACCCAACCCCAGAAUUCUCCCUGAGGUGGUUUUACCAAACCCAUAACCCAGAACUGCUAUUGUGGUUUGGGGGUCAGCACCCACCAGUGCCAGGGCACUACUGGGAGGCUGGGACCUGACCAAAGCCCAUGGUGUCUGUGGCCUGAGGACAGGGUGUCUUGGGGCCAUGAGGACAGGCCACCAAUGGCCGUUGGGUCAUAGGGCCUGAGCCCCAGUGUUUGUCCUUCCCUGGCUCCUUCUGGUUCAGUCCCAUCAGGGCUCUGGAUCCCAAGACGCAGCAUCCAAGGUUCCCUCCAGGAAUCCUGGUGGCUCGGCUUACUUUGUCAUGUUUCAUCUGAUAGCAAAAAUAUCAGAUCGGCUGCACAGAAAAAUGGCUCAAAGUGCUUAAUGACCAGAAGAAAUCUGGGAGUAGCAAGAAGAGGUCUCAGGUGCUCUACAAGGGAGUCCCAUUUCAGGUGUGGGGCUGGGUAUGGUCACUCCUGCUGGAUGUCUAGAAGGUGAAAACCAAGGACCUAGGAAAAUACCAGAUACAGCCUUUCCACCGUCAUCCAGAGCAGGACAAACACGCCAGGUGGUGUCAGGAGCCCAGGUCUCCAGCUGGAGGGAAUGUCAACCCUGCAGUGGGAGCCCAUCAUGCAUCCUAGGCACAGAUGCUAACGUAGGCACCGCAGAAGCACUGCUGACUGUUUGGUGGUUGCUGUUAGGGCAGUGAGCCUUUUGUCCAUUCUGAGAUUAGGCUGGUUUCUCCUCUUGGCCCUGGCCUACAGACCAUAAAGGAAAACAGCAAGAGGUCCCCAGCAAACAUCUACAGAUGGCCCUGGACAUCAGCCACAUUCAGAGAAACGUGUCAUGUUCUGGGAGGGCUAAGGCAUCGAGAAUCCCAGUGAAUAUAUUGCCACCAUCUUGGAGCUCAGUGCCCUCAUAGUGUAACAGCACCAGCAGAUCUGCCUGUGCACAGACUUCCUGUACUACCUCACUCCUGAGGGGAGAUGCUUCUGCAGGGCCUGCGACCUGGUGCACAACUUUAGACACCAUCAUCCUGGAGCGGCACUGCACCCUCACUAGCCAGGGUGUUGAUGACUUCCUCAAUGCCAAGGCCACGUUCAAGAUUUUCGACUUCAGUGAUGCGUUUGUGCUGAGCAAGCCGUUUUGCACACCCUGGUCAGAAUGAAACAUUCCUUGGGAACUCGGGCCGUGAGAAGCAUCCUUCCUGAUCACCUGACUGUAGAAACAUCCUUAUCGCACCCUCCCGGGCAAAGGCCCAACAGCCUGACUGCAGGAACAUCCUUGCCAUAUCCUGCCGGGCAGCAAGCUCUACCGCCCACACCCCUCCUUCCCAGUCCCAUGAUCACCCCAGCCUGUGAGAGGCAGUUGGUGCUGGCAGUAAGCUGGUUUCCUCCUCUGCAGGGUUUUGCUAGUAAUAAAGGUGUUGCUGUUGAAGCCGU
ensembl:lncRNA novel transcript